rnacentral:rRNA from 1 species
GAUGAACGCUGGCGGCGUGCCUAAUACAUGCAAGUCGAGCGAAGCGGGGACGGGUGAGUAACACGUGGAUAAACUCCUAUAAGACUGGGAUAACUUCGGGAAACCGGAGCUAAACCGGAUCAUUAUAGAAGGAUCCGCGCCGCAUUAGCUGGUUGUUAAGGUAACGGCUGACCAAGGCAACGAUGCGUAGCCGACCUUAGAGGGUGUUCGGUCAAUCUGGAACUGAGACACGGUCCAGCCUCCUACGUGAGGCAGCAGUAGGGAAUCUUCCGCAAUGGGCGAAAUCCUGACGGAGCAACGCCGCGUGAGUGAUGAAGGUCUUCGGAUCGUAAAACUCUUUUAUUAGGGAAGCGGUACCUAAUCAGAAAGCCACGGCUAACGACGUGCCAGCAGCCGCGGUAAUAC